rnacentral:rRNA from 1 species
AGAGUUUGAUCAUGGCUCAGGACGAACGCUGGCGGCGUGCUUAACACAUGCAAGUCACGGGGGUCCCGCAAGGGAUAACCGGCGAACGGGUGCGUAACACGUGAACAACCUGCCCUCGUGUGGGGGAUAGCCGGGCUAACGCCCGGGUAAUACCGCAUACGUUCUCUUUGGGGAGUCCCGAGGAGAGGAAAGCUCCGGCGCACGGGGAGGGGUUCGCGGCCUAUCAGCUAGUUGGCGGGGUAAUGGCCCACCAAGGCGACGACGGGUAGCUGGUCUGAGAGGAUGGCCAGCCACAUUGGGACUGAGAGACGGCCCAGACUCCUACGGGAGGCAGCAGUGGGGAAUCUUGCGCAAUGGUCUAACGACUGACGCAGCGACGCCGCGUGUGGGAGGACGCCUUUCGGGGUGUAAACCACUGUUGCCCGGGACGAACAGCCUUUUUCGAGAGGUCUGACGGUACCGGGUGAGGAAGCACCGGCUAACUCCGUGCCAGCAGCCGCGGUAAUACGGAGGGUGCGAGCGUUGUCCGGAAUCAUUGGGCGUAAAGGGCGCGUAGGUGGCCCAGCAAGCGUGCGGUGAAAGCUCGGGGCUCAACCCCGAGUCGGCCGUGCGAACUGCUGGGCUGGAGCACUGUAGAGGCAGGCGGAAUUCCGGGUGUAGCGGUGGAAUGCGUAGAGAUCCGGAAGAACACCGGUGGCGAAGGCGGCCUGCUGGGCAGUUGCUGACACUGAGGCGCGACAGCGUGGGGAGCAAACAGGAUUAGAUACCCUAGUAGUCC